CCCCUCCCCACUCCCCCCUCAUCAAAUUCAUCACAGGCCAGUCGGGUGCCUUCACCCCAUCCCAGACCUCAUCUUCCCCCAUCUCUCUGACCAGCUCCUCCUCCCUGAAGACCCCCAGCUUCCUGGGCCAGAUUGGGACCUACUCCUUCAGGAUCUGUUCACCUAUUUCUGGGGACCAGGGCACAAGGGGCCCAGGCCAGGGCACCAUGGAAGGCCUAGCUGGAGUGGCCCUGCCUGGGGGCUUCACCCUCAUCCAGCUCCCUAAACCUGGAGGUACUGGUGGUUCUCCCCGGCAACCCAAACUAAUCAGAACCACAGCCGUGGGUGAAGCGAUAGCAGCCAGAACUUCGCAGCAAGGAGGGCCUCAUCUGGAGACCAAAUCUCAAGCCCAGAAGAACCAGAAAGGAACCUCUUCUCCCUCACCUCUAGCCUUGAUAGAAAUUAAAACAGAGACUGUGCAAUCUGAAAAGUUCUCCUACACUCCAGAGUUAAAUACCAAUACACCUGACUCCAGAUUAGCUCUUGCCCAGAAGAAACAGUCUGACUCAAAGGGCCUUAAAUCUGACCUUAGAUCAGCCAAAGUCAACUACUCUAGUCCCUCAGAGCCCAAUGAGCUGACCUGUGAGGUAGGGGGGGGGGGGGGGUGAUGAGGGGGAGUGACCAUGGAGCCCAGAAUCAUGUCAGAAAGACCCAAAGUUAAGUUAGUUUACGACUCUGAGAAUGGGUAUCCUGAUUUUAAUGUUGAGGACUCGGAUCCGGGCGACUCGCCGGAUGACUCGGAUUCCGACAGUGAUGAAUAUGCCGAGGAAGAAGAGGAAGAAGCGGUUGACAUUGAGACGGCGGAGGAGAGGAGACAGGGCAUCACCAUAACUCAGAUGAGGGUCACUGUCAAACACACACACACAGUAAGACUGGAGUGUGUUUGUAUGGGUGCAUGUGUGUUUGGCUAUUUACAUUUAACAGUGUGAUUUGCGUGAGACUGUCUCCACAGACAAAACAGUCAGGAUGGUGAACGGCACCAAAGGAAACGCGUCAGAGGGAAAAGAGAGCGAGGGAGGGGUCUGGCGAGGGAAGGGCUCGUAAGAACCUGGCGAAGAGGUUGCGUCGCGGCGAGCACCAGAAACUCUUCACCAGACUCAAAACAGGUGCUGUUCAUGGAAGAACUGGUCUCCAAGCUUCACCUCCUUCUACAACUUGAUAAUUAUCGAAUACAAAAGAUAUUUAAUCAGGCUCUGAAGGAGAUUCGUACCCCGUCAGUGGACUCAGUCUCUGGAGGAGAAAAAAAAAGGAUGCUGACUGAGAUCCAGUCGGUCUAUGUCAAGGAGAUUACAUUACAUUUCUGGGAAGCCAGAGGAGCUGAUCAAGGCCAAGCUGAAGGAGAUCUGGGAGAAGAGAGCUCUGGCUGCCCAGAGCAGAUGUGCCCUCUACCUCUAUCCAUAUCUCAUCCACCGCCUUCACCCCUAGUCCCAACACCCUGACAGGGAAUAACAACCCGUUUCCUAUAUGUCUGACAACAGCAGGAAGGGCACUAAGAUGGAUCAAUGAAUUAGCCAACAUUCAGAACACUUUCUCCUGGAGCAUUGUUUUUCCCGUGAAAGGAGAGAGAGAGAGAGGCUCCCUCGACACCGCAGAAGGCCCUCGGUGAAACAGUUGUCUCGGGCUAGCUCUCUGGGUCAGGCAGGGGCAGCUAGGGGCUCUGUGAAACCAGUGGCUGCUGUUGAACGCGGCAAUAUCAUGCUUCCACACCAGCAGGCGGAGCGGUCUGCACAGUGACGGUUAUGAAGAGACCAUCAACAGCCACCUCCACCAACACCACCUCAGCAGCCAAGGAGGCUGUGGAGAAAGAGAGCGCUGAGGAAAAGGAGUGUACACACUGGAUUAUCCGCACCUCUCGCUGACCCCUAGCCCACGGUGCUCUGUCUGCCACUGAUCCUGAGAAGAAGGACCAGGGUAGAGUGUCUGGGGAGGCUGAGCAGUCCUCAGACAGCCCAGCAGAGGAGAGGCCAGAGGUAGGUAAGGAGGAACCACAGGCCCCUGUCUAAUGGAUCCAUGGGAGAAGAGACUUCCACAGAGAAGGAUGACAUAUCCACUCCUACAGAGAAGUCCCUUAUCAAUAAAAACUUGAUCAAUAGGCUUUCUGCUAUGAAGUAUCCCCUUGUGGACAGCGCCUCCCUAAACAGUGCCAUCUGGAGGCCAUUGGAGAAACCGCAGGCGGUGGGUGAGCGUGAUCCAGGAGGCUGGGGUCUGUCUCUGACCAAGGGAGAGGCAGCCGUACUGGUGAAGGCUCUCUCUGAACACAAGGGCAUAGUAGUGGGGCGGAAGGGAAAGGAUGGUAUGGUCACACCAAAGCGCAAGGAUAACCUGGUCCAACACAAUGGAAAGAAGAGCUCUGUGACACUGAAGGACAAGGAUAGCUGUCACACAGAAAAAAAGGGUAGCGCAACAUCUCAGAAAGAAAACUAACAACUUGGUCCCACAAAAAGAGGAUAGCUCGGGCCCACCAAAGGAAAAUUAUAGCUUGAUCACUCAAAGCAAAAGACGGCUUGGUGACAUCAAAGGAAAAUGAUUGCUUGCUGACACAGAAGGGAGGGGGAGGCUUGGCAGAUGGCUUGGAGGCUCCAACUGUGAAGAGAACACGACGACAGCCACGCUUGGACAUUUAAUCCCCACCAACUGAACAUAUCACUACUACCCCUGUGGCAAUGACUGGGGGUAGCUGGCCAACGUUACACAAGCCACGGGUAGUACCCGUACCCCAGUGUCUCGACCUGGGGGUAUUCUUGUGACUAACACUGGGGAUGGUGGCCCUGCCACUCUGGGUAGUCCUCUUAAAGUACGGAAAGCUGGAGAUGGCUCUAUCCCGGCCCCUGGAACUCGGGCUGGGUUAAGCCCUGCGGUGAAGACUGAUGGCAGUGCAGCCAAAACACCACGAGUAGAUAGCCCGGCCAGGACAACCCAAGCUGGGGUUAAUAGCUCUGCAGCAAUGACUAAAGCAAUGACAGCCCGUGACCCGUUCUGUCGGUGGGAAGAGAACAAUGAGGUCUGACAAGGCCUAGUGGAGCUGAGACUAAGGCUGCAUUUCCACACUGCCUCCUUUGGUGCAUCUCGAUACAGUGUGGCUCAGUUGGUAGAGCAUUCCGCUUGCAACGCCAGGGUUGUGGGUUCGAUUCCCACGGGGGACCAGUAUGAAAAUGUCUGCGCUCACUACUGUAAAUCGCUCUGGAUAAGUGUCUGCUAAAUGACUCAAAUGUACAGUAGUUGUCUACCUCGUUUCCUCUCCCUUCAUUCCAAUGAUGAGGCAUUUCAGCCUAGUUCCAACCAGAGGAACAAGGGAAUCAUACUCAACACGUCACGUCAACAGAUGUGUCAUUAACUAACUGUCAUUAAAGGCUGCACUCCGGUCCAGAAAUCCCAUUGAGACCGCCACAUGUGCCUGUUCACAAAUCCAAAGGACCCUGGACAGUUGUUUGUGUGAGUUAACCCUGUCUCAGCUUUAGUACUCAUUUGCCUGCCUACUCGUGAAUAGACAACAAAGCAGACAAUAAUUUACACCUACAGGACAGUCAGUUUUCAGAACAUCUCUAGUCAUUGAGCGAAACGUUAAAUGAAUUAACUGCAUGCAUUUAUUGAAGGUUUGGCUGCUGUUUGAGUAGUUGUACAUGGGACAUUAGCCCCAUGUUGGGGUGAAUGUGGGAUGUCCUACUUUUUUGGUGAAGUCAAUAUUGUUAUUAGUGUUGUAGAUAGUUGAUUACUUGUGUUGUUUAAUAAUCAAACCCCUGUAAUUUUUGAAGAUAAGUUCUAGGGAAGGUCUGUACAAAAAUAAUGGACAUGCAUGACCACAAAACAGGUCAAUUACAUUCUGGUCCAUUUUGAAGUUACCAAUAGGCCCUAAUCUUUGUAGCUGAAAAUCAUUGAUUUGAGAUACAACGUUCAUGUGUUUGUUCUUGUCAAAAACACUGUAAAUGUUAUUUCUAUGCCACUGUAAAGACUAUGCAUUAUAGCUGCAAUUGUUGUGUCCAUUCCUUUUUAAAUACACUCUUAAUUUCAUUACCAGGCUUUUUAGUUCUCAUAAAAGUACUAAUUAAGUCUUUAGCAAAUAGAAUUUCUACUGUGCUUUGGCAAAGUGGGUGGGGUUAUAUCCUUCCUGUUUGGCCCUGUCCGGGGGUAUCAUCAGAUGGGGCCACAGUGUCUCCUGACCCCUCUUGUCUCAGCCUCCAGUAUUUAUGCUGCAGUAGUUUGUCGGGGGGGGGGGGGCUAGGGUCAGUUUGUUAUAUCUGGAGUACUUCUCCUGUCCGGUGUCCUGUGUGAAUUUAAGUAUGCUCUCUCUAAUUCUCUCUUGCUUUCUCUCUCUCGGAGGACCUGAGCCCUAGGACCAUGCCUCAGGACUACCUGGCAUAAGGACUCCUUGCUGUCCCCAGUCCACCUGGCCGUGCUGCUGCUCCAGUUUCAACUGUUCUGCCUGCGGCUAUGGAAUCCUGACCUGUUCACCGGACGUGCUACUGGUCCCAGACAUGCUGUUUUCAACUCUCUAGAGACAGCAUGAUUGGCUAUGACAACUUCAGGUACCUUUCCUGACAGUUGAUGCUGCUGCUGAGAACGCAGUCCUGUACCUCUCGUUGGAAUUCACAGAUUUGCGGUGCACCAUCCCACCACAUGUCACUUAGAGUAGGCCAGAAGGCUAUACUGGAAAACCUAAAUGCUAUCAAAAUAAAAAGAUGGCCGAGUCGCAAAUGUU